UACCCACAGCUCAAGUGGUGGUCAUUAUUAUUGGGCCUAAAGCGUCCGUAGCUGGCCUGUUAGAUGCCUGGGUAAAUCGAUGCGCUCAACGUAUCGAACUCCGGGUAGACCGGCAGGCUCGAGACCGGGAGAGGUGUAGGCUACUCGCGGGGUAGGGGUAAAAUCCUGUAAUCCUGCGGGGAGGACCAGUGGCGAAGGCGCUACACUAGAACGGCUCUGACAGUGAGGGACGAAGCCCUGGGGCGCAAACCGG
rnacentral:rRNA from 1 species